AAAUAAUUCCUAGGUAUUUAUAAAAUUGGAACCAAUAUUUUCCCUAGCAUUUUAGUGCCUUGAGAUAAUUAAAACUAGGGCCGAAACGAUUGUUAAAUGCCGUGUCGCAUUUUACUAUAAUUAAAUAAAUUCUAAACCUUCCCAAAAAUAACUGUGGCAUGUUAUAAAAUUACCAUAAAAAUUGUGAGGCAAGUCCUAUAUUUUUAUAAAAGUAAUUUUAUUACUAAGAAUAAAAUAGAAUAAAAA
rnacentral:lncRNA from 1 species